rnacentral:rRNA from 1 species
CCUACGGGAGGCAGCAGUGAGGAAUAUUGGUCAAUGGCCGGAAGGCUGAACCAGCCAUGCCGCGUGAAGGUCAGUGCCCUAUGGGCGUUAAACUUCUUUUGUGCGGGAGCAAUAAUGGUCACGUGUGGCCAGACGAGAGUACCGUACGAAUAAGCAUCGGCUAACUCCGUGCCCGCAGCCGCGGUAAUACGGGGGAUGCAAGCGUUAUCCGGAUUUAUUGGGUUUAAAGGGUGCGUAGGCUGUGAGGUAAGUCAGCGGGGAAAUGCCCCCGCUCAACGGGGUGAAGUGCCAUUGAUACUGGCUUGCUGGAAUGCGGAUGCCGUGGGAGGAAUGUGUGGUGUAGCGGUGAAAUGCAUAGAUAUCACACAGAACACCGAUUGCGAAGGCGGUCUGCUGGACAGCAACUGACGGUGAGGCUCGAAAGCGUGGGGAGCAAACAGGAUUAGAUACCCGUGUAGUC